GGCUGUUCAUAUGUGAAACAGAAGUGUCUGUGGAAGGAAAUGAAUGAAGUGUAAGAAGUUGAAGUCAGGUUUGCAAUUGCCUGCGCAAGAGACAAGACAACCUGUGUCUUCGCAGGAAGAAUGGUCAUGCUCCUGGGGGCAUCAUUGCUGAUUCUGUGGCUUCAGCCAGACUGGGUAAAUAGUCAACAGAAGAAUGAUGACCAGCAAGUUAAGCAAAAUUCUCCAUCCCUGAGUGUCCAAGAAGGAGGAACUUCUAUUCUGAGCUGUGACUAUAAUAAUAACCUGUUUGAUUAUUUUCUAUGGUACAAAAGAUACCCUGCUAAAGAUCUCACGUUCCUGAUAUCUAUCCUUUCAGUUGUGGAUAAAAAUGAAGAUGGGAGAUUCACAGUCUUCUUCAACAAAAGUGCCAAACACUUCUCUCUGCACAUUGCGGACUCUCAGCUUGGAGACUCAGCCAUGUACUUCUGUGCAGCAAAUGCACAGUGCUCUCCAGGCACCUGCAGCCUGUACCCAAACCUGCUUUGGGGUCUCAGCCUUGGAGGCACACAGACUUGCUUCCAUUUACACAUGGCAAUAUGA